rnacentral:pre_miRNA from 1 species
GAACUACUCCCUCCGUCCCAAAAUUCUUAUUUUAGAUUUGUCUAGAUACGGAUAUAUCAAGUCACAUUUUAGUAUUAGAUACAUCUGUAUCUAGACAAAUUUAAGACAAGAAUUUUGAGACGGAUGGAGUAUAUU